UGAUGGGUCAGAAGUGUCACAGAUAGG
rnacentral:piRNA from 1 species